rnacentral:rRNA from 1 species
GUCUAUGACCAUGCCACCCUGAACAAGCCUGAUCCUGUCUGAUCUUGGAAGCUAAGCAGGGUUGGGCCUGGUUAGUACUUGGAUGGGAGACCACGUAGGAAAACCAGGUGCUGUAGGCA